CCUACGGGUGGCUGCAGUGGGGAAUAUUGCGCAAUGGGGGAAACCCUGACGCAGCAACGCCGCGUGAGUGAAGAAGGCUUUCGAGUCGUAAAACUCUGUCUUCAGGGAAGAAAAAAUGACGGUACCUGAGGAGGAAGCCCCGGCUAACUACGUGCCAGCAGCCGCGGUAAUACGUAGGGGGCAAGCGUUGUCCGGAAUCACUGGGCGUAAAGGGCGCGUAGGCGGUAUAUUAAGUCAGGUGUGAAAGUUUUCGGCUCAACCGGAAAAGUGCACUUGAAACUAAUUUACUUGAGUACUGGAGAGGUAAGCGGAAUUCCUAGUGUAGCGGUGAAAUGCGUAGAUAUUAGGAAGAACACCGGUGGCGAAGGCGGCUUACUGGACAGAGACUGACGCUGAGGCGCGAAAGCGUGGGGAGCAAACAGGAUUAGAUACCCCAGUAGUC
rnacentral:rRNA from 1 species